AGAGUUUGAUCCUGGCUCAGAUUGAACGCUGGCGGCAUGCCUAACACAUGCAAGUCGAACGGCAGCACAGUCGUAGCAAUACGAUGGGUGGCGAGUGGCGGACGGGUGAGGAAUACAUCGGGACCUGCCCAGACGUGGGGGAUAACGUAGGGAAACUUACGCUAAUACCGCAUACGUCCUACGGGAGAAAGCGGGGGAUCUUCGGACCUCGCGCGGUUGGAUGGACCGAUGUUCGAUUAGCUAGUUGGUGGGGUAAAGGCCUACCAAGGCGACGAUCGAUAGCUGGUCUGAGAGGAUGAUCAGCCACACUGGGACUGAGACACGGCCCAGACUCCUACGGGAGGCAGCAGUGGGGAAUAUUGGACAAUGGGCGCAAGCCUGAUCCAGCAAUGCCGCGUGUGUGAAGAAGGCCUUCGGGUUGUAAAGCACUUUUAUCAGGAGCGAAAUACCAUCGGCUAAUACCCGGUGGGGCUGACGGUACCUGAGGAAUAAGCACCGGCUAACUUCGUGCCAGCAGCCGCGGUAAUACGAAGGGUGCAAGCGUUAAUCGGAAUUACUGGGCGUAGAGCGUGCGUAGGCGGUUUUUUAAGUCUGCUGUGAAAUCCCCGGGCUCAACCUGGGAAUGGCAGUGGAUACUGGAAAGCUAGAGUGUGAUAGAGGAUGGUGGAAUUCCCGGUGUAGCGGUGAAAUGCGUAGAGAUCGGGAGGAACAUCAGUGGCGAAGGCGGCCAUCUGGAUCAACACUGACGCUGAGGCACGAAAGCGUGGGGAGCAAACAGGAUUAGAUACCCNNGUAGUCC
rnacentral:rRNA from 1 species